rnacentral:rRNA from 1 species
UACGGAGGGUGCAAGCGUUAUCCGGAUUUACUGGGUUUAAAGGGUGCGUAGGUGGGCAGGUAAGUCAGCGGUGAAAUCUCCGAGCUUAACUCGGAAACUGCCAUUGAUACUAUCUGUCUUGAAUUAUCUGGAGGUGAGCGGAAUAUGUCAUGUAGCGGUGAAAUGCUUAGAUAUGACAUAGAACACCAAUUGCGAAGGCAGCUCACUACGGAUACAUUGACACUGAGGCACGAAAGCGUGGGGAGCCAAACAGGG